GUAUCAGGAGUGUAACACCAGUCAGAAUUGCCAGAGAUGCAGGAUCGGCAUGUCAACCCAUUGGACACUGAGCUGCCUCCUGGCACUGAAGGCGGCUCUGG